AUGGGCAACAGCAGCAGUCUCUGCCCCGAUGUUGGACUACUUCGAUGUGAUUGCGGGUAUGAGCACGGACACGAUGAUGGUGGGUCAUCGAAGCCAGCACCGUCUAAGCUGAUACCACGGCUCCCGCCACCAAGGUUCGGGAAUCUCAUAACCAUGCUGAGCAUCGAUGGUGGCGGGAUACGCGGGCUGAUCCCGGCAGUCGUCCUCAGCAGCCUCGAGGAGAAGCUCAAUUACUUUCUAAGGAAAAUGGGCUUGGCCGGCGAAAUUAUACACGCCUUGAAGGGGCCCAGGUAUGACGGCGUGUUCCUGCACCAAAAGAUCGAGGAAUUCACGGAGAAGCACACCCUCGCCAACACCCUCAGCUGGCUCGUGGUGCCUACGUUCGACGUCUACAGGCUGGCACCUGUCAUCUUCUCCUCCUUCGAGGAUCACUUGACGGACCCGCAGAAAAGGAAGAAAGAGACCAAACCGCUCUUGUCUGACGUCUGCAUCGGCACCUCGGCCGCGCCGACCUACUUCCCCACGCACUACUUCGACAACGACCGUCCCAGUGGGAUACGUCGGUCGAACUUCCACCUCGCCGAUGGCGCCGUGGCCGCCAACAACCCCACCAUGGCUGCCAUAAUGAGGGUCACCAGGGAGGUGCUACUCCGGAAUCCGCACUUCCACCACUCCGAUGUGAAUUACAACAACUUCCUCGUCAUCUCCAUCGGAACCGGGUCAUCUGUCAAGGAAAAGGGGGCGUACACCGCCGCGGACUGUGCCAAGUGGGGCGCUUUUGAUUGGCUCUUCAACCUGAGCAACAAACACAGUCCACUCAUCGACAUGUACUCCCACGCCAGCUCCGAGUCGGUGGACUUGCAGGUCCGCAUGCUCUUGAACCAUAACCAAGCCGCUAAGUACCUCCGCAUCCAGGCUCAGGAGCCCGACAUGUUGCCAAUGGACAAUGCGACUACGGAGAACACUGAUAGCCUGGUGGACAUCGCUCAGAAGCUGCUGGAGAGCAACUCGGGUAAGGUGGACUUGUACCUUGGGACUUACCAGACAAGCAAGAACGGCCCCACAAAUGAUGAAGAACUUGACCGCUUCGCCAAGCUUCUCGUCGCCGAGCGCUACCUACGCCUUGCAAAACAAAAAGAAGAAGAACAAGAAGAAAAGAGGGCAACUUCUGAAGCAGCACCACCAGCACCAACAACGUCUGUGUCUCCGGAUGGAUUCAAAGAGACCUCCAUAGGUUUACCGGUCGGUGACACACAGGAAGGCACGUGA
rnacentral:rRNA from 1 species